rnacentral:rRNA from 1 species
AGACCCCGGUAGUCCUAGCUGUAAACGAUGUGAACUUGGCGUCGGCGGGUUCAAAGCCGUCGGUGCCGAAGCUAACGCGAUAAGUUCACCGCCUGGGGACUACGGCCGCAAGGUUAAAACUCAAAGGAAUUGACGGGUCCCCGCACAAGCAGCGGAGCGUGUGGUUUAAUUCGAUGUUACACGAAGAACCUUACCCAGGUUUGACACGUUGGUGGUAGGGAAGCGAAAGCAGACCGACCCGCAAGGGAGCCUUCACAGGUGUUGCAUGGCUGUCGUCAGCUCGUGUCGUGAGAUGUUCGGUUAAGUCCGCCAACGAGCGCAACCCUCGCCGUAUGUUACAAGUGUCAUACGGGACCGCCGGUAUCAAGCCGGAGGAAGGUGGGGAUGACGUCAAGUCAGCAUGGCCUUUAUAUCUGGGGCUACACACACGCUACAAUGGCCGGUACAAUGGGUCGCUAAGCCGCGAGGUAGAGCCAAUCCCCAAAGCCGGCCUCAGUUCAGAUCACAGGCUGCAACUCGCCUGUGUGAAGUUGGAGUUGCUAGUAAACGCGCGUCAGCUAUAGNGC